rnacentral:ncRNA from 1 species
UGUUGAUAAGGGCAAACUGCGGCGAAAGCUCAGGACGCAAAGCCUCCGGUCUAAGGGACAAAGGUCCUACGAUAGCGGGGUUGCCAGA